ensembl:lncRNA
GUGUGAUUGUCUGCGUUUGUUUGAGUUUCGCAGGGCUCUCAGGCUGCGGUCUCACCGGGUGUGUGCGAGUGUUUUCAGUACAAUCCACUACAAUACUGUCAGAGUUUCCCAGAACGUAAGACCACAGAAAUCCAUUCACAAGAUUUCACGGAGAACGCCCGGAACGGAACGCUGUGAAUGGGUGUGAUCGACAGUGGAGAGGCGGGACUUCAAAGCCACUCUCGGAGGAAGUGAGGCAUCUGGCUAGACGCCCCAGCCAGGAAGGGAACUUGUUCCAUUAGCCAUGCAGGACGGCAGGGGACCUUGUGGUGAACAGAUCUGGCAGUCGGACCCCCUCCUCCUUCUGGAUCUCCAACGCGCUCCAACAGCCGGCUCGGCCCGGCCAAUCACAGAGAGGCCAGAGAACCCCGGUGUCUGGACAGAUCAAAGCCCGGCGUGGCGGGAAAAGGUCAGACUUUCAGUCGGCGGCGG